rnacentral:rRNA from 1 species
AUUGAACGCUGGCGGCAUGCCUUACACAUGCAAGUCGAACGGCAGCACGGGAGCAAUCCUGGUGGCGAGUGGCGAACGGGUGAGUAAAGUAUCGGAACGUGCCCAGUCGUGGGGGAUAACGUAGCGAAAGUUACGCUAAUACCGCAUACGAUCUAUGGAUGAAAGCGGGGGAUCGCAAGACCUCGCGCGCUUGGAGCGGCCGAUAUCAGAUUAGGUAGUUGGUGGGGUAAAGGCUCACCAAGCCGACGAUCUGUAGCUGGUCUGAGAGGACGACCAGCCACACUGGGACUGAGACACGGCCCAGACUCCUACGGAAGGCAGCAGUGGGGAAUUUUGGACAAUGGGCGAAAGCCUGAUCCAGCCAUGCCGCGUGCAGGAUGAAGGCCUUCGGGUUGUAAACUGCUUUUGUACGGAACGAAAAGGUUUGGGCUAAUAAGCUGAGCUCAUGACGGUGCCGUAAGAAUAAGCACCGGCUAACUACGUGCCAGCCGCCGCCGUAA